rnacentral:rRNA from 1 species
ACAGCAGUCGCCGCGGUAAUACGAAGGGGGCUAGCGUUGUUCGGAAUUACUGGGCGUAAAGCGCACGUAGGCGGAUAUUUAAGUCAGGGGUGAAAUCCCGCAGCUCAACUGCGGAACUGCCUUUGAUACUGGGUAUCUUGAGUAUGGAAGAGGUUAGUGGAAUUGCGAGUGUAGAGGUGAAAUUCGUAGAUAUUCGCAGGAACACCAGUGGCGAAGGCGGCUAACUGGUCCAUAACUGACGCUGAGGUGCGAAAGCGUGGGGAGCAAACAGGAUUAGAUACCCCUGUAGUCCCUGUCUCUUAUAC